AUUGAACGCUGGCGGCAGGCUUAACACAUGCAAGUCGAGCGGAGAUGAGGUGCUUGCACCUUAUCUUAGCGGCGGACGGGUGAGUAAUGCUUAGGAAUCUGCCUAUUAGUGGGGGACAACAUUCCGAAAGGAAUGCUAAUACCGCAUACGCCCUACGGGGGAAAGCAGGGGAUCUUCGGACCUUGCGCUAAUAGAUGAGCCUAAGUCGGAUUAGCUAGUUGAUGGGGUAAAGGCCUACCAAGGCGACGAUCUGUAGCGGGUCUGAGAGGAUGAGCCGCCACACUGGGACUGAGACACGGCCCAGACUCCUACGGGAGGCAGCAGUGGGGAAUAUUGGACAAUGGGCGGAAGCCUGAUCCAGCCAUGCCGCGUGUGUGAAGAAGGCCUCUUGGUUGUAAAGCACUUUAAGCGAGGAGGAGGCUACCUGGAUUAAUACUCUAGGAUAGUGGACGUUACUCGCAGAAUAAGCACCGGCUAACUCUGUGCCAGCCGCCGCCGUAACAC
rnacentral:rRNA from 1 species